UACAUGGGGUGCAAACGUUGCUCGGAAUUAUUGGGCGUAAAGCGCACGUAGGCGGUUCGUUAAGUCGGAUGUGAAAGCCCUCGGCUCAACUGAGGAAGUGCACCCGAAACUGGCGAGCUUGAGUACGAAAGAGGAUCGCGGAAUUCCCGGUGUAGAGGUGAAAUUCGUAGAUAUUCGGCGGAACACCAGUGGCGAAGGCGACUCACUGGCCCGAUACUGACGCUGAGGCGCGAAAGCGUGGGGAGCAAACAGG
rnacentral:rRNA from 1 species